AUCCUACGGGAGGCAGCAGUGGGGAAUCUUCCGCAAUGGGCGAAAGCCUGACGGAGCAACGCCGCGUGAUCGAAUGAAGGCCUUCGGGUUGUAAAGAUCUGUUGACAGGGACGAAUAAGCAAUGCGAAUAGUUUUGUGUAUGACGGUACCUGUUUAGAAAGCUCCGGCUAACUACGUGCCAGCAGCCGCGGUAAUACGUAGGUGGCAAGCGUUAUCCGGAUUUACUGGGUGUAAAGGGCGUGUAGGCGGGAAAGCAAGUCAGAUGUGAAAACCAUGGGCUCAACCUGGGGCCUGCAUUUGAAACU
rnacentral:rRNA from 1 species